rnacentral:rRNA from 1 species
AGUGAACGCUGGCGGCAGGCCUAACACAUGCAAGUCGAGCGGCAGCGCGUCCGACCACCCUCGGGUGGUCGGAUGGCGGCGAGCGGCGGACGGGUGAGGAAUGCAUCGGAAUCUGCCUCGUUGUGGGGGAUAACGUAGGGAAACUUACGCUAAUACCGCAUACGACCUACGGGUGAAAGUGGGGGACCUUCGGGCCUCACGCGAUGAGAUGAGCCGAUGCCGGAUUAGCUAGUUGGCGGGGUAACGGCCCACCAAGGCGACGAUCGGUAGGGGGUGUGAGAGCAUGGCCCCCCCACACGGGUACUGAGACACGGACCCGACUCCUACGGGAGGCAGCAGUAAGGAAUAUUGGACAAUGGACGGAAGUCUGAUCCAGCCAUGCCGCGUGAAGGAAGAAGGCGCUCAGCGUUGUAAACUUCUUUUGGAUGGGAAUAAUAAUGUCGACGUGCUCGGCACUUGAAGGUACCAUCAGAAUAAGCACCGGCUAACUCCGUGCCAGCA